AUUGAACGCUGGCGGCAGGCCUAACACAUGCAAGUCGAACGAGUGGCGGACGGGUGAGUAAUGCCUGGGAAACUGCCCGAUGGAGGGGGAUCACUACUGGAAACGGUAGCAAAUACCGCAUACCAUCGGAUUUGCCCAGAUGGGAUUAGCUAGUAGGUGGGGUAAUGGCUCACCUAGGCCACGAUCCCUAGCUGGUCUGAGAGGAUGACCAGCCACACUGGAACUGAGACACGGUCCAGACUCCUACGGGAUGCAGCAGUGGGGAAGAUUGCACAAUGGGCGCAAGCGUGAUGCGGCAAUGCCGCGGGUAUGAAGAAGGUCUUCGGGUUGUAAAGUACUUUCAGCAGAGAGGCGUUUCCCGCCGAAGAAGCACCGGCUAACUACGUGCCAGCAGCCGCGGUAAUAC
rnacentral:rRNA from 1 species